AUUGCUUCUCGGCCUUUUGGCUAAGAUCAAGUGUAGUAUCAAGGGGUCCCAGGAUGGUCAAAUCUGCAGAACCUUCU
rnacentral:snRNA from 1 species